UCCUACGGGAGGCAGCAGUGGGGAAUCUUAGACAAUGGGCGCAAGCCUGAUCUAGCCAUGCCGCGUGUGUGAUGAAGGUCUUAGGAUCGUAAAGCACUUUCGCCAGGGAUGAUAAUGACAGUACCUGGUAAAGAAACCCCGGCUAACUCCGUGCCAGCAGCCGCGGUAAUACGGAGGGGGUUAGCGUUGUUCGGAAUUACUGGGCGUAAAGCGCACGUAGGCGGAUCAGAAAGUUGGGGGUGAAAUCCCGGGGCUCAACCCCGGAACUGCCUCCAAAACUUCUGGUCUUGAGUUCGAGAGAGGUGAGUGGAAUUCCAAGUGUAGAGGUGAAAUUCGUAGAUAUUUGGAGGAACACCAGUGGCGAAGGCGGCUCACUGGCUCGAUACUGACGCUGAGGUGCGAAAGUGUGGGGAGCAAACAGGAUUAGAUACCCUGGUAGUCCACACCGUAAACGAUGAAUGCCAGUCGUCGGGCAGUAUACUGUUCGGUGACACACCUAACGGAUUAAGCAUUCCGCCUGGGGAGUACGGUCGCAAGAUUAAAACUCAAAGGAAUUGACGG
rnacentral:rRNA from 1 species